rnacentral:rRNA from 1 species
AACGAACGCUGGCGGCAUGCCUAACACAUGCAAGUCGAACGAGACCUUCGGGUCUAGUGGCGCACGGGUGCGUAACGCGUGGGAACCUGCCUUGAGGUUCGGAAUAACUCCCCGAAAGGGUGCUAAUACCGGAUAAUGUCUUCGGACCAAAGAUUUAUCGCCUUUAGAUGGGCCCGCGUUGGAUUAGCUAGUUGGUGGGGUAAAGGCCUACCAAGGCGACGAUCCAUAGCUGGUCUGAGAGGAUGAUCAGCCACACUGGGACUGAGACACGGCCCAGACUCCUACGGGAGGCAGCAGUGGGGAAUAUUGGACAAUGGGCGAAAGCCUGAUCCAGCAAUGCCGCGUGAGUGAUGAAGGGCCUUAGGGUUGUAAAGCUCUUUUACCAGGGAUGAUAAUGACAGUACCUGGAGAAUAAGCUCCGGCUAACUCCGUGCCAGCAGCCGCGGU